AUGCUGUGGAGGCUCUGUUGUUUCGCUCUUUCUACUGCUUACUCUUCGGGUCCACACUGCUUUUAUGAGCUGUAACACUCACCCUGAAGGUUUGCAACUUGACUCCUGAAGCCAGCAAGACCACGAGCCCCAGGGAGGAACGAACAACUCCAGACGCGCUGCCUUAAGAGCUGUAACACUCACCGAGAAGGUCUGCAGCUUCACUCCUGAGCCAGCGAGGCCACGAACCCACCAGAAGGAAGAAACUCUGAACACAUCCGAACAUCAGAAGGAACAAACUCCAGACGUGCCACCUUAAGAGCUGUUAACACUCACCGCGAGGGUCCGCGGCUUCAUUUUUGAAGUCAGUGAGACCAAGAACCAACCAAUUCGGGACACAAUACCAACUCUUUCAUGCCAGGAGAAGCCUCCUUAAAAAAUUUCGGUGAUUAACAGUUUCCAUGUUCCUGCAUUGU
rnacentral:lncRNA from 1 species